rnacentral:lncRNA from 1 species
GAGCGGGCGAGCGAGAGACAGGGGGAGAGAGAGGGACACGCGCGCGCACACACACACACACCGGCACACACGCACACACACAGACACACACACACAGAGUGAAAAAGGCGAGCCACCAAAACCCAUCUCCAGUCUCCUCCCGGGGGCCCCCAGCCCGCCUCUGUGCCACUUUGCAUCCCACGCCGGAGGAGGCAUUAACGAGACCGGUGCUGCAUUCUUACAACCCUAAAAUCCAUCUGCUGUUAACACACCGUCAAAAAGAGGGGGAAAUGCGUCUCCGAGGGAGUGCUCGAGAGAAGAUAAUGGAAUGGUCUGAUGUAAUCCCAUACAAAUUAUUCCUCAUGAUGUGAAAAUGCUUUUACAGGGACCUGGGAGAUUUCUAAACUGAGUGCUGUGCUGGCCAUUGAUGACCCAAAGAUGAUGAAAAAUAUGUUCCUGCCCACAAGGAGUUAGCGACCUACUGGGGUUUUUCUCAGAAAUUACGUACUCUACGGCUGCCCAUCCCAUUCAAGAAUGAGGCAAUAGAAAAGCCUUUGCAAAAGUUAGUUACAAAUGUGGGGCUUGACAUUGAGCUAA